rnacentral:rRNA from 1 species
UACGUAGGGGGCAAGCGUUGUCCGGAUUUAUUGGGCGUAAAGAGCGUGUAGGCGGCCAGAUAGGUCCGUUGUGAAAACUCGAGGCUCAACCUCGAGACGCCGAUGGAAACCAUCUGGCUAGAGUCCGGAAGAGGAGAGUGGAAUUCCUGGUGUAGCGGUGAAAUGCGCAGAUAUCAGGAAGAACACCCGUGGCUAAGGCGGCUCUCUUGUACGGUACUGACGCUGAGACGCGAAAGCGUGGGGAGCGAACAGG